rnacentral:rRNA from 1 species
CACGGAGGGGGCGAGCGUUAUUCGGAAUUAUUGGGCGUAAAGGGCGCGUAGGCGGCUUGAUGUGUCAAAGGUGAAAUCCCUCGGCUCAACUGAGGAACUGCCUUUGAAACUGUCUGGCUUGAGGCCGGGAGAGGGUAGCGGAAUUCCCAGUGUAGCGGUAAAAUGCGUAGAUACUGGGAGGAACACCAGUGGCGAAAGCGGCUUCCUGGUCCAGCACCGACGUUCAGGCACGAAAGCGUGGGGAGCAAACAGG